UACGUGGGGGGCAAGCGUUGUUCGGAAUUACUGGGCGUAAAGGGCUCGUAGGCGGCCAACUAAGUCAGACGUGAAAUCCCUCGGCUUAACCGGGGAACUGCGUCUGAUACUGGUUGGCUUGAAUCCGGGAGAGGGAUGUGGAAUUCCAGGUGUAGCGGUGAAAUGCGUAGAUAUCUGGAGGAACACCGGUGGCGAAGGCGGCAUCCUGGACCGGUAUUGACGCUGAGGAGCGAAAGCCAGGGGAGCAAACGGG
rnacentral:rRNA from 1 species